CCUACGGGUGGCAGCAGUGGGGAAUAUUGGGCAAUGGAGGCAACUCUGACCCAGCAACGCCGCGUGAAUGAUGAAGGUCUUCUGAUUGGAAAGCUCUUUUAUGGGGGAUGUACACAAUGACGUUACUCCAAUAUCAAGCCUCCGCUAACUACGUGCCAGCAGACGCGGUAAUACGGAGGUGGCAAGCGUUAUCCGGAUUUACUGGGGGUCAAGGUUGCGUAGGUGGUUUAUUAAGGUGGCGGUGUAAUUCCGGGGCUCAACCUCGGAUCUGCCGCCAAAACUAGUAGACUAGAGUGCAGGAGGGGCAGGCGGAAUUCGUGGUGUAGCGGUGAAAUGCGUAGAUAUCAGGAAGAACACCGGCGGCGAAGGCAGCCUGCUGGACUGAAACUGACGUUGAGGCUCGAAAGCGUGGGGAGCAAACAGGAUUAGAUACCCUAGUAGUC
rnacentral:rRNA from 1 species